rnacentral:rRNA from 1 species
UUGCGGUUAAAAAGCUCGUAGUUGGAUCUCGGCAGGCAGGGUGGUGGUUCGCUCCUUAGCGCUACUGCCCCAUUUGCCUGUGUGAUUGGCGGAGGUUUCGGGGUGCCCUUUAUUGAGUGACCCGGGGCGCCGUCAGGUUUACUUUGAAAAAAUUAGAGUGCUCAAAGCAGGCUUUUCACGCUUGAAUAUUCGUGCAUGGAAUAAUGGAAUAGGAACUCGUUUCUAUUUUGUUGGUUUCCGGAAAUCGAGUUAAUGAUUAAUAGGGACAAUUGGGGGCAUUAGUAUUCAGACGACAGAGGUGAAAUUCUUGGACCGUCUGAAGACUAACUACUGCGAAAGCAUUUGCCAAGAGUGUUUUCAUUAAUCAAGAACGAAAGUUAGAGGUUCGAAGGCGAUCAGAUACCGCCCUAGUUCUAACCAUAAACGAUGCCAGCUAGCGAUCUGCCGAGUUUUUUUUGUAGGCUCCGCAGGAAGCUUUCGGGAAACCAAAGCUUUUGGGUUCCGGGGGAAGUAUGGUUGCAAAGCUGAAACUUAAAGGAAUUGACGGAAGGGCACCACCAGGAGUGGAGCCUGCGGCUU